rnacentral:lncRNA from 1 species
GUAGUAGUAGUAGUAGGAGUAGGAGUAGGAGUAGGAGUAGUAGUAGUAGUAGUAGUAGUGAUAGUCUCUCUGUAACCAAGGAUGAUGCUUGUCUUUGUGUGUUUUUGUGCACAGACACUUGUGCAUGAAGAUUUAAGUGGAAAAGUCGAUGCACAGACAGUCCCACUCUCUCGGCAUUGGAAGCCUGGGUCUGGUGGCACGAAAAGUCGUUACAUCUGGAGACUUCCUCAGCUGCAUUGGAUGGCCGUGUUGUCUUUUGUGCUCCAACACGCCCUAAGCACUCCACAGUGCCUUGCUGCGUCGCCAUCUCAGCUGUUGAACCUUAUUAGUUUCUUCCGCCUGUUCCGCCGAAGCAGUCUUCACAUGCUGGGGAAAUUUGGAUACACAAAAGAUCAUCAGGAAAGAAAUGAUCUCAGCAUGGAUCCAUUCUCAUCUGUACUCAUUCCUGUCUUAGUCUGUUGAAAGCUAACGGUCAGGAGAGACCAUCAAAGAGAACAGGCAUAAUUAAAAACAUACAGGGGUUCAGCUGCAGUUCAGGAAGGUGGCUCAGAAGAUAUUCGAGGGAUUGCAAAGAAAAUCUCCUGCCAGUAAGAUAUUUGACUUGUAUUUUUGUUUUGUCUUUGGACUGGUUUUUGAUUUGG